UUGGGCCUAUAGCUUAAUAUGGUAGAGCGGUCGCGUUUGACGCGAUAGGUGCUGGUUCAAUUCCAGCUGGGCAAA
rnacentral:tRNA from 1 species